UGCACAUCAUACUGUAAGUUAUUACUAGUCCAACUAGAACCAAAAACGUGAAGUGCCAAAAAGUAGUAUGUGCUGUCUUGGUGUUCGCUGUUUGCUUGGGCUAUUCCCAAGCAGACAAACAGAUCCAGCCCAAAGUUGAACAAAGGAUUGAGGAUGGAGUUACAGCAGAAGUGACAGCCCAAAAUGUCACUGCACUUAACGAAACAAAAGAUGCUAGCGGCUUUCUACUGAGAGGAAGCUUCACAUCCUAUGGACAUUUAAAUCUCGGUUAUGUAGGAAUAUACGACAAAUUGCUGUUUAGUAAGGUGUACUAUGCCAGUGAUGGAGAACUUCUGCUGAGAGUAUACAGCCCUUACUACAAAUUAACAGCCAUUCGCAUC